UUUAUUUGAAUCAAAACAAAUGGCUUAUAUAAGCCUUACAAUGAUAAAAAAUAGGAAACAAACUACUCACGUUUUACUGAUUCUAAUAAAGUGGUAAAUGACUAAGGAAAUAGUCGGACUCUACCAACAUGUCCUAAAUAUUAGAACUUAUUAACUGACUGCACUUUGAGAACUGUAACCCUAAUAAUCCCAACAUCCCCUACUACUUCAAA
rnacentral:lncRNA from 1 species